AUGACCUCCGCGCACUCCAAGCUCUACUCCGAUGACGUCAGCCUCGUGGUGGUGGUCGUCGACACCAACCCCUUCUUCUGGGCCGGCGCCGCGCUCCCCUUCGCCGACUUCUUGUCCCACCUGAUCCACUUCGUGAACUCGCUCCUGCUGCUGAGCAACCUCAACCACGUGGUCAUCAUCGCCGCGGGUGUCAGCUCCUGCGCCUACGUCUUCGACUCGGGCAAUGCUUAUGCCGGAGGCACGGCAGAUGUUGCUGAAACCUUGGGCAAGGCGAGCCGCAAGAUGGAGGAGUUCAUUAAGCAGGAUGCUCGUGAGACUGCCAGCAAUGGCACCGUUGCUGAUGGCGGUGCCGCGUCGCUGUUUUCUGGCGCGCUGUCCCUUGCUCUGUGCUAUAUACAGAGGAUUUUUCGGUCUGGUACUCGGCAUCCACAGCCUCGGAUUUUGUGCCUGCAAGGUUCUCCAGAUGGACCUGAACAAUAUGUGGCAGUGAUGAAUUCAAUAUUUUCGGCACAGCGUUCCAUGGUUCCAAUUGAUACAUGUAUCGUGGGGACACAAGACUCUGCUUUCUUGCAGCAGGCUUCAUAUAUAACAGGGGGAGUUUAUAUGAAGCCCCAAGAACUAAGUGGUCUAUUUCAAUACCUUGCUGCUGUAUUUGCAACGGACUUGCACUCGAGAACUUUUCUGCGCCUCCCUAAGACCCUGGGAGUGGAUUUCCGUGCCUCAUGUUUCUGCCACAAGAAGACUAUUGACAUGGGAUAUGUUUGUUCAGUUUGCUUAUCAAUAUUCUGCAAGUACCAUAAGAAAUGUUCGACCUGUGGGUCAGAAUUCAGCCGUGUCAGCAUGCCGGAUUUGAAUUCCUUGCCAGAUCAAAGGCAGUAG
rnacentral:rRNA from 1 species